rnacentral:rRNA from 1 species
UACGGAGGGUGCAAGCGUUAUCCGGAUUCACUGGGUUUAAAGGGUGCGUAGGCGGUCAGGUAAGUCAGUGGUGAAAUCUCCGGGCUUAACCCGGAAACUGCCGUUGAUACUAUCUGUCUUGAAUAUCGUGGAGGUAAGCGGAAUAUGUCAUGUAGCGGUGAAAUGCUUAGAUAUGACAUAGAACACCCAUUGCGAAGGCAGCUUACUACACGAUCAUUGACGCUGAGGCACGAAAGCGUGGGGAUCAAACAGG